rnacentral:rRNA from 1 species
CCUACGGGGAGCUGCAGUGGGGGAUAUUGCACAAUGGGGGGAACCCUGAUGCAGCGACGCCGCGUGGGUGAAGGAGCGUUUCGGCGCGUAAAGCCCUAUCGGCAGGGAAGAAGGAGGACGGUACCUGACUGAGAAGCCCCGGCUAACUACGUGCCAGCAGCCGCGGUAAUACGUAGGGGGCAAGCGUUAUCCGGAUUUACUGGGUGUAACGGGGGCGCAGACGGCAGCGCAAGCCAGGAGUGAAAGCCCGGGGCCCAACCCCGGGACUGCUCUUGGAACUGCGCGGCUGGAGUGCAGGAGGGGCAGGCGGAAUCCCUGGUGUAGCGGUGAAAUGCGUAGAUAUCAGGAGGAACACCGGUGGCGAAGGCGGCCUGCUGGACUGCGACUGACGUUGAGGCCCGAAAGCGUGGGGAGCAAACAGGAUUAGAUACCCUUGUAGUC